rnacentral:rRNA from 1 species
UAGGGAAUCUUCGGCAAUGGGGGCAACCCUGACCGAGCAACGCCGCGUGAGUGAAGAAGGUUUUCGGAUCGUAAAGCUCUGUUGUAAGAGAAGAACGUGUGUGAGAGUGGAAAGUUCACACAGUGACGGUAACUUACCAGAAAGGGACGGCUAACUACGUUCCAGCAGCCGCGGUAAUACGUAGGUCCCGAGCGUUGUCCGGAUUUAUUGGGCGUAAAGCGAGCGCAGGCGGUUUAAUAAGUCUGAAGUUAAAGGCAGUGGCUUAACCAGUGUUCGCUUUGGAAACUGUUAAACUUGAGUGCAGAAGGGGAGAGUGGAAUUCCAUGUGUAGCGGUGAAAUGCGUAGAUAUAUGGAGGAACACCGGUGGCGAAAGCGGCUCUCUGGUCUGUAACUGACGCUGAGGCUCGAAAGCGUGGGGAGCAAACAGG